ACCAAAAGAAUACAGAUGUGAGUAAAUUGCUGACUAAGUCAUUGCACUAUGUACUUGUGAGGCAGCAAAGUUAAAGAUGGCAUUAAAUGAAAAAAUAUAAUUUCAUUAUGGUUUAUAAACAACAACUUUGAAAUAUUUUAGUUGACAAGAUAACAAAGGAUGAAGGACUUCAUUUAAUUUUAACAAGUGGUGAUUGUCAAACAGGGGUUUGUACAUGAAAAUUCAGCAUUGUUGGUAACUAGGGCAGGUGGCAUGAAUCUUUCAAAAUCUAUUAAAAACCUUAGUAAAAGCUCCCACUUUGGUUACCAAUGAAAACCUGUUCAAGUGUUCUACUGGCUCUUAAGCGCAUAUAAUGACUGAUGAUAGGAGUAAAAGACUAAAAUAUCAAGAGAUAAAGUAUAAUUCAUGGUUGCAGCCACUAUUAGAGCUGAACUGAUAUCCUAACAAAUAACCACGGUAAUGAAUUGCACAUUCUUUUAUUUUCCAACAGCAGAGCUUUGGGACAUUCAGUGUAAUGUCCCUCCCUGAUUUAAGGCUUCCUCUCUGAGCUUAAUUAGGCCUAACCAUAUAAACAUCACAUAUUCUCUUCAAAAUAAACCAAUAAUGUGGUUUGAAGAAGUACUUUAGUCAAUCUUUCUCUACUUUAAAAUCAUUAAUAUUGAUGUUUAUUGAAGAAAGCUAGAACUUUAUACAACUCUAUAAUCUAAAUUAAGCUGAAUGUCCCUCUAAAGAGAAAAGCUUUACAGAAGAGACCUAUCACUUGGCACUAGAGUUGUAUAACCACCAAUAAAUGCUAUAUGAGCUGUCUGCUGGAAGGGGAACCAGGCACUUCUUGCUAUCUAUCUAUCUAUCCAUCUAUCCAUCCAUCCAUCCAUCCAUCCAUCCAUCCAUCUAUAUCCAUCCAUCCAUCUGUAUCUAUCCAUCCAUCCACCCAUCCAUCCAUGUCCCUAGCACUUAGAAUGGUGCCUGGCAUACAGCAGACACUCAAUAGAUAUUUGCAGAAGGAAUGAACACAAGAGUGAUCAUUAAAAAGUGAUUGCAAAAGUGAAAGACUAUAGUACUAUACGGCAAAAACUCACACAGCAAACCUCCCUCAGAUAUGACAGCCUUUCCCUUCUCUUUCCAUUUGGUCAUAGGAAAAGCAAACCAAAAAAAAAAAGCAAUUUUAAAGAGUUAGGACACAGACUGGAAGACACUGUAUAGUAUAAAUUCUGGUUGAAGUAAAAGGCCUGGGGCUUUCUGACAAGAGGGGCACCCACCUUGCAUAAAACAAAAAUUUCCUCCACCAGGAUUUUAAAAGCAAGAUUUAGUUAAGUCAUAUAUGCCAACAGCUUAUACCAAAAUGUUCAGGUUUCCUUAAACUUUAUAUUACACCUUCUGUUGACAGGGCUCGUGCUAUACUUGUGUUUUCCAUUCUUCACAAAGCUUUGAUAGUUUUAUUUUCAUAAAAAUAAAAGUACAUGUGCAAGGAUGGUAUUUUCUCAUUUAUUCAACAAACAAUGAAAAACAGCACAAGGCAAGCACUGUAUUAGGCACGAGGGACAGAAUACGGUGACCAGACAGGGUCCCUGGUCUCCUGAGUUUCCCAGGCCAGUACUAGCCACAGAAGCAGGACUUUAUAAAGAGUCACAGCUUAACAAGGGCUCGGACGGAAAAGAAGGGCAGGUCAGUAUGAACACCAGAACCUCGAAAGGCUCCUGCAGGAAAUGGUGCUGAAGCGAGAUGUGCAAAGUGACCAGACACUAACUAGACAAGGAGGGAUGGCUGCAGGGAGAAAGCAGCAUUUCACAGAAGAAACAGCAUACACAAAGGUCAGAAAAGAAGAGGGCUGCUGGCAGGAGGUGGAAGAGAGUCGUGGGCAGGGAAGCAGGGUUCUGGUGAUGCGACAGGCAGGAUGAAGCCAAGCAGGGACACCGGUCUCCACCCUCAGACUCUGCCUCUGUGGUAGGCUGCUGGGGAGUUUGAAGCAGAGAAGACACACGGUCAGAUUUGUGUUUUUAAAAGAUUCCUUUGGCUGCAGUGUAGACACUGGGUAGGAGGAAGGUAAGAGUGGAUUCGAAAAACAAGUUAGGAAGCUAUAUAUAGUCAGUGGACCAGUGACACAUAUCAGCGCCCUAAGCAACUGGCGCAGGGGCCCCACUAGAGAGGGCUGGGGCCAAGAGCAGAGCGGGAGACACGUGACAACUGUGUCCACAAGCAGGAGGACAAGUGCGGAGGGCCGGCAGGAGCUGCUGCAGCGGGAGAACGUGGAGGAAGCUGUGGUUUAAGCUUGGGAAACGCCUAAGAGAUGCUGACGGUGACGACCCCGAGAGGGGACAAAAACUAGACACGUGAACAGAGAAGCAGCAAGGAGUAAGGUUCCUGGCAAGGCAGGAAGAGAGGCUGGGCAGACGGCAGGUUUACAAUAAAACAAAAGAUGAAAAGAGAAAGAGCAUGUGAGAACACAGACAACUGAAAACAGUUCAUCAAAAUUAAGUACUGGAAAAAGAAAACAUAUGUGCUACUAGAGUUAGACAAAAUGCCAACAGAGGGAAAUGAGUACCAUUGCUGGUAAAGGUUACAUGCUGGUAAAGGGACCUCUGUAUUAUUUCUUGCAACUGCCUAUGAAUCUCUGAUUAUUUCAAAAUAGAAAUUUAAGUACAAAACACCUCCCAAAAUUAUGUAUUCAAGGCCUACUCUACAUAGUGAAUACAAAAAAUGUUUACCAAAAAUAUAAGGAAAUAUACGUAGAUAAUAAGCACCAUCCUGGCAGAACAGCUAUAAGGAAUCAUUAAACCAUCAAAUCAUAACUUAAAUGAUACAUUUAUAUAUGUGUGGUGUAAGCAGGAAAAAAGAAUGUUUAAAAAUCUAGUUUGGUUGUUAGUUGACUGGAAUUAAUAAAUGCAUUUCAGCUCCUGGAAUGGAGUUACAGGCAUGGAUGGGGGUACUGCAGUUUGGUUUCAGACACCACAACAAAGCAAAUAAGCAAAAAAGUAAGUCAAGUGAAUUUUUUGGCUUCCCAGUGCAUAUAAAAGUUAUGUUUCCACCACGUACUGUAGUUUACUAAGUAUGCAGUAACUUCAUGUCUAAAAGGAUGUACAUACCUUCAUUAAAAAAUACUUUAUUGCUCAAAAAUGCUAACCAUCAUCUGAGCCUUCAGCAAGUUGUAAUCACAUUACCAAUCACCAUAACAAAUAUAACUAUAAUGAAGUUUCAAAUAUUGCGAGAAUUACCAAAAUGUGAGACAGAGACAUGAAGUGAGCAAAUGCUGUUGGAAAAAUGGCACCAAUAAACUUGUUAGACAUAAGCUUUAAAACACGGUACCUGCGAAGUUCAAUAAAGCGAAGCAUAAUAAAAGAAGCUAUGCCUGUAUGCCUGUACGUAUUUAUCCUCUUAUAAAGCACUUCUUUUUAAAUUAAAAGAACAACAAAAAACAAAACUUAAAUGCCAUACAAACUGAUUUUCAAGUUAUAUGUAAAUUAAAUGAACAAUAUUUAGCAGUUAAGUCUUAAGCUUUAAACUAGAAAAAUGAUUCCUGGCCAAGAUUUUCUUCCGUAAAUGUCACUUUACCAACCAGAGUCAUGAUAACUAAUAUUAAAAUAAUUAAUUUUUUUUCUGUCAUUCACAAAGUGGUUAUAUCUACAGAGUAGCACAGAUGUUUCGUAUUAUUGCCUCUUAGUCAAGACUCUGAGAGCUGAUAUAUUGAAGAAACAGAAUGAACAUAUCCAUGCUGACAGCAACUAUAUAUAUAUAAAUGAAAAUGCAUUUAAAACACCUGAACUUCAAACAGUAUCAGAAUUACUUUUCACUACAUUAGAAUGGAAAUUUACCAAAGUCCAAUACAUUAAAAUAAUAAUUCUUUCACCAUAUCAUCAACUCUAUGUUUUACUAGCUUCUACUUCAAUCUUCCUAAUUUCCAAGGGAGAAAAUACUCCCAUUUAUCACUACAUCUCCUAUCUCAACAAUGACGUGUAAUUCUUCAUAGGAUCUGAACACUGUCCUAUUUAUUACAGGUUAAAAAGAAAUCUAGUGGUAUACUAAGAAUGCUAUAAAUCAAGAAUGAAUUUCAGAUAAACUAAUUUUGGUAAAGAAUGAUUAUGUAAGAAAUUGGAUAACUGGAAAACUCUCAGGCCUUUGAGGUUGUUUCCAGCGUCCUUAACGUCUGCCUGCUGAAACAGCUGCUUUACAUCAUCCUGUACAUCUAGAAAUACCAUUCCUUCUGGGAAACCUUCUUCUUAUAUCCAUUAGAGGAGAACUGAGAGCAUGUCUGCCUUAAACCGACACUGGUCUGAAUCUAAAGUUCCCAUUAUUAGGCUUCACCAGAAUGUAAAGGGAAGAGCACAGGUUUUGGAGCCAGACAAAACUAUGGUUGAAUCCUAACUAUGCCACUUCCCAGCACAGUGGCAUAACGUGGGACCAUGUCCUGAACUUCUCUAAGCCACAUUUUCCUCAUUUGCAAAAUGUCCGUACUAUGUUGUCACAGAAUUAGAUGAAAAUUCAACAAGUUAAUGUAUUUAAAAAACAUAUUAUAUCAGGUUUGGAUGUUAAAUGGUAGCUAGUAUUAUUUACUAUUACAACUGUCUUAGCAUACAAUAACUGACUUUGACAUACCUUAUUUACAUUUUACUGUUUUAUUUACAUAUUUUGUAAAUUUGAUCUGCUUUAGAUUUAUAAAUUCUUAGAAGAUAGGAAUUAUAGCUAACUGGUCUCUCUGGAGCACUUAACAAUCAAGUUCUUAAUAAGGAAAUGUUACUUUCAUAGUUUCCUGUUUAUAUUUCACUUAUAAAAUAGCCAAAUAUGCUUAAUGAAACACAUGUGCCUCCUCAAAUUACUCAGCUUUUUCUCCAACAUGGUGAUUGUUUCAAGGUUUUUAGAAUAACAAUGAAAUCAACUAAAGUGUUAUUAGUCUUUCAUAUUUCAAUAUCUGCCACAAAACUAAGUCAUUAAUUCACAUUUUGAAAACAUUUUUCUCUCACUUUAAGUAGAAUUGGUUAUCAAACAAUGAGUCAGUUCUUUAUCUGCAGGAUCCAGUUCAUACUGAGAAGAGACUGGUACUAACCAGAAAAUGUUCCCCUUCUGAUGUUCCCUUCUGAUAUUUUAAUCAAAUGUAUCUUAUGCUAUGGAUCUUGGUAAUUCAGACUUUCAUAGUUUCUAAUGCCAUAUGUGCUAUAAUUUCUAUCUCUGUUCCUUGUGUCUUCUAUUCCUCUGGCUGCCUUCAGAGUUAUCUCUGUAUCUUUUGUUUCCAGCAGUUGAAUAUAAUGUUUCUAGAUGUGUUCUCUAAGCUUCUUGGAUCUUUGGCUUGAUUUUCAUUAUUCUGCAAAUUCUCAGCCACUACUCCUUUAAAUAAAUAUUUCUUCUCUCGUUAACUCUCUCUUCUUCCCUGUGGAGCUCUACUUGAACAUGUUAUACUGCUUGAUAAUGUCCCAAAGUCCUUGGAAGCUCUGUUUGUCUCCCCCUCCCACUCUUUGUCCCCUUUGUAUUGGAGUUUGGAUAAUUACCACUGACUUAUCUUUAAGAUCACUGAAUUCACUCAUUGUUUCCUCAGGUGUAUCAAGUGCACUGAUGAGCCCCCUCAAAGGAGUUCUUCAUAUAUGAUAGCAAGGCCUAAUUUCUUGCCUUUCUACUUGAGUGUUUCUCAGGUUCCAUCCCUCCUCCCCAUCUGUUUAUACAUUCUGCCCACCUUUUCCAUGAUGUCCUUUAACAGUAUUUAAAUCCUGCUACCUACUCUAAAAUUACUUUAGCCAUUAGUUAUUUUAAAGUCCCUUAGCCUGAUUCUACUGAUUUCUUUAUCUUUACACGAGGAGGCAGUGUUUUGUGCUGUUUCUGCAGCAGCAGCCAGUCACCUCCUGUAGGCCUUCGGCACUGACAAAGGCUCUGCACAGUUUCCCCCACUGCUGCCCUUAUUUCUGAUGAGCACCUGGUGAAGGCUAAUGGAAAAGAACCUUACAUCAGGGCCUUCAACUAUUCCAGACAGAAAGGCCAGCCCACACUUGGCCUUAAAUAAUUUGUUAAAAUGUUACCUGAUGUCUCCUUACCCAUUUGUAUAGCAGCCGGCCUCCCACCUAUGCUUUGCCACAGGUAAGCCAGUCUGCAGGAUGCAGACAACUUGAUGGCCCCAUGAUCUCAGCUAUCUUAUGAAAAGAUGAGAUAAGGAAAAAUCAGAAUUUUAUCUGUGUUUUUCCCCAUAUAGUUAGCUUGGGAGCAGACCUCUUUCCAGCUUCCCACAUCCCCAACAGUUCUCCGUGAGUCAUAUGAUCUGGGCUUUUUGCUUCCAAAGGGGAAAACAAAACAAAACAAAAAAGCAGAAGAGCUUUGCAAAAGGUAAACUACUUCAUUUAGUUAGGAAUCAGAAAUUAAAGAUGAUUAUGAAGGAACUUGCAAUCCAUCAUCAUGUGUGUUAAGACAGUUUAUUUUAAUACUGUCAAGCAGGCAUCUACGCAUAUCAGUUAGUGUAUCAGUAUGAGUAUCAGUUAGUUUGUAUUUUAGCCAAGACACAGUCACUCAAUACGUACUGAUUGCCCACUAUGUGACAGGCACAGCUGACAGAUCAGUGAACGAAACAGACAAAAAUCCCAUUUCUCAAGGAACUCAAAUUCUACAUCUUGUUGUUUUUAUUUUAAAUUACCAUUAGGGGAAAAAACCCACAUUUUUCAUUAUUUCAGUUCCUGUAAGCUUGAGGAAUAAAAGGUCAGAUUUAAAGCACCAUCUCCUUUAGGCUGGCCAAAAGGACCAAACUAUACUAAUUACAAUGCUAUUUACAUUUGCAAUCUUUACUAAUUUUAAGUUCACUUAAGUGGCUUUUUUCUACUUUUAUAUUUAAUUAACAAAUGUCAAAAAACAGGGAAUGAGAGUUAGAUAUGCAUAUAACUCACAUUCAUAUACUUCUAAAGACAAUGAAAUGGUGAAAUACACAAAUAUAUUAUCUCAAUAUAUGCUAAAAAGCACCAACCAGUUCUUAGUAUAAGGUGCCAUAGGAAGAAAAAAGACACAACACCAUCUCCUGCCCUCAAAAGAAUUAAAAUUCCAACAUCUGCUUCAAAGUUUAUGAUAUAUGUUGCAGUUUGGGUAACUUCAGGUUUGGGAAUAUAUUUUCGACUUAUUUGCCCCUCAAAAUUCAGUAACGCAAUUAAGGUAUACUAUGACACUUGAUGGCAAAAAUAACCCUUUGCAAAAUUUGUUCUAUUAAUACUCCAACAAGUUCCCUCCAAAAAAGGUUUAGUAGUGGCAAUAAAAAUUUCAGUCAAUAUUAAAUGCAUGUAUUUAAUAUACAAUUAGUACAUAAUUAAUGGAUGAGGAAGUUAUAGAGAGGGGAGAUGAAGGUGGGAAAAUAAAAUGAGGUCAGAAUUGAGUUCAGGCAUGCUAACAACAUACAUGUCUUAUACUUUCCUUCACUUUGCACAACUGGGCCAUAAAUGUAUCUUUAGUCAGAGAGGGGAACUCAAUGAUAUGCCUAUUCAAAUUGCUCUGAGUACAGGUCUUUUAUGCUUUCAUAGAUCCUUUAUCUGGAAUCCCAUAAUCCAGAGAGGUCUGAAGACUGAAGGUUUUUCACAAAUUUGACACAAAUACAUUUGAUGGCAAAACCUGCCCUGAACAAAUGUGAAAUCUGCAACAUACUUUUUCAACUUUGUGACUAUACUGAAAUAUGCAUUCCUUUGACUACAGAGUACCCUGCCAAAUGCCACUAUGUUUUAAACAUUCAAAUAUACAAAAUAUCAACCAUUUUACUUGUCUAAGAUCCAGAAAAUCCUGAACUCCAAAGCAUCUAAUCCCAAAGUUUUAGAUGGAGAACUAUGAAUCUCUAUGUGACACAAAUUGUGCCUGAGAUAUAAAGUGAAUUUUCCACAUAGAAGAAAACAGACAAAUAAUAAUAAAACUUUUUAUUCAAAGUGUUCCACCAACAGCAUUUUGUACAUCUUCCUGCCGAGGUUUAGAAGUGUGUCAUUAUCAAGGGUUUAAGUAGCUAACUAUGUGUGGAACACUCUUCCUACACUCUUUAUUUUCUAUCUAUGGAAUCCAACUGGGUCUGAAGGUACUUGUCCAUGUGAUGCUGGCUGACUCCCAUGCCUGUGUUUGCUGAGUGCAGGCCCUGCUUUGUGGUAGAAGACACAGCAAUAAAAGCAGGUCAGGUUUGUCCAGGAGAUUUCCAAAAUUAAGUUCCUUUCCUGGAGAUUCACAAUUCAAAUUAGCAUAUUAAAAGUUAUGAGCAGUCCCAGCUUCUAGAAUACAGAAACCCAUUCCACUUCAACACUCAUUUUCCAAAACCAUUUGAGCAUAGCAUGUUCCUACUUUGUAAGACAUCUUUACAUAAGCAGGUGAUUUAGUCUAGAGGACACUAGUUGGGACAUGAUUUGUUAAAGAAACUAAAUGUAAACUUCCACUAAUGAAAGAAAAACUAUUAUAAAUAAAACUUCUUAAGGAAAUGAAUGCACAAAUACAGUUGUAUCAUUAUCACUGAUCUUUAAACUCCUUUCCAAUCCUGAAGAUACACACACUUCUUUGGAAAACUCCUUCUUAGCUCUUUAAGUCCCAUUGGCUCUCUCCUCUCCCCAGGCUGCCUGACUCCCCAGGCUCUCUGGACACUCGCCUCCAGGAUGCCCCAGUUGCUUCCUCAGCCCCCCAGUUUCAGUGCCUCAGUCAGAGUGGUCACUUCUAACUCACACAAGCUGAUGAGUCAAUGAAGGAGAACAACCUAACUUGCUUUUCUUUCCAGCCCGGAAGCAGAUAGGCAGAGCUGCGGAGAGAUGCUCUUCUCCCCACCCCAGUCUCGCAGCGUGCGAGCAGGUCCCGAAGCUCCUUGUGACCUCUCUGCUCCAAACCAUGGCUGCUCUCCGCUGGGCCAUAGCCAGGAGCCACAGCCACCCGCAGACAAUGAGUCCGCACUGUGAAGACCAAACAAUACAGGCCCCAAACCCCACAUUUCUUUCUUGCAAAUUUCUUUUUCCACAGUAUAAAGAGGCCACUUUCUACGUUGCUCUUUUUCAUGUAUUUCCUACUAUCUGUAGUGGUUCAUGGAGUCAUUUAAUUUAAAUACAACAGUGUAUCUAGUUAUCCUGUCAACAAAGCUUAGCAAUCCACAACCCUCACAAACCAGCUUAGCAGAGUUCUUCAGAAAUGCUUCUCUGGGAUAAUCUGUAUCCUUUAUCAAGGGCAGACUAUUUUGAACAAGAUUUGAGAGUAUUAAUACAAAUUUAUUUUAAAAUAAUAUUUAAUGAAUGAACUUUAUAUUUCAGAUAAUUUACACCCUUGCCUGCGUUUCUUUUAUAAAAACGCGUGCAGUUUUUGUUGUCUCUCUAGAAGCCUGCUGGGCCUGAAGCAGCCGUGGUUUGAGACAGGCUGACUCCUGUGCGUACUGAGUGCACAGGCCCUGCUUGGGGAGGAGAGUAAUGAAAAUGAGACCCCUCCUUUAUCAGCUCAUCUUUGCAACCCACUGUGUGCAAGGCCCCUCCUAAGCAGCAGGGUAAUACAAUGAAUCCCUCUUGACCCUGCUGUCAGAAAUGAGAAAAGGAAUGUAUGUGGAAACUAAUGACCAAGGGAAGAUGCCCCAAGUACCACAGAAGAGGUACAGAUAAAAAGCUUCCUCUAAACAGAAGACAGUACUUACUUACAGAGUCUGAAAGGCAACUGUCCUAUUAAUUACAUAUUAGUUAAAACUAAUUGUAACUCUUAUAUUGUUGCGGUGGUGGCAUUUCUAUUUCAAAGAUCCACCUAUAUACAAAAUGUAGAAAGACACUGUAGGUUUUUAUCCCCAACUGAUACAUAGGAAAAUGGUAGAAUUGUUGUUUCUAUAAUUGGAACAUUAUAUGCCCACAAUUAACUAUACUGAUUUAGUUUUACCUAAUUUUAAUAGUUCAGUAUGAAUUUUUCCACAGUGAUCACUGCUCUUUAUUUGAAACAAAACUGCCUGCUUGUAUUGUUUCUAAAGAAUUAAGACUUGACCUUGUGUGAGUACAGUAAUGACAACGCAGCCUGUCUGAUAAUAAAUGCCAAGUUCCCACAAACUACAAAGCCUCAGAGUAGCAGGAAGCCAUGCUGCCCUGCCCCACGGUGCUGCUGGGUGUUGAGCAGCAGUUCCUAUUUCUAGUAUUUAGCUACUUUACUCAUCCUAUAUUCAUGGAUGCAUUCAGUGGUUUUAAUGUUAAUUUCUGGAGCUCCAACCAGACUCAGGCGCAGUCGGCCACGGGGAUGUGAGGCCCUUCAGAGCCUCCUAGGGAGCGGAACCCUCACCCUUCUCUGCACCCAAAGCACACAGCCAUGUUAGAACCUGGUCCCCGGCACUCAUUCAUUCAUUUUUUUAAAGGCUAAAGCACAACCAUGGCCAAAAAUUGAAAUCAAGAACUAAAAAAAUCAACCCUUUCUUUUACCAAGAACGUACAGUCUUGUUUCUUAAUUUAGAAUUCAAAUGAGAAUUGUAAGAACAGUAAUCACCCAACUCUAUGAAGCCGGAAGCAAGCAGAUAACAGCAGCAUCAGCAUGAUCUGGGAGCUUCUUGAAGAAAGGAAAUCUUGGGUGCUCCACACCCACUGAUCAGAAUCUACAUUUCAACCAGAUGCUCAGGUGACUUUACAUACAUUAAAGUUUGAGAUGCCCUGAGUUGGAAAAACAUAAUCAUCACAAUGACUUGGAAAACAAAGUGAGCAAAAUUAAAUUAUCCCAGUUUUAUGAGCAGGACUGUCCACAGGAAAGCAGCACGGUGAGAGAUACGGAAGGAGACAGGACGGCAUCUAACGCUAGGCAACUUGCCAUUUUCUGUUGCUACUCCUUUGCUCUGUGACAGCAGGUAAGUCUCUUCAUAUGUUUUCUCAAUUAUAAAAUGAGGAUAAAAAUACCGCUGCAAAAAAUAUAACAUGAAGAUUCAAUGUGAUAAUAAUUAUUCAAUCAACUUGUGAAAAGUAUUAACUAACUGCAAGAAAUUCAAGUUCCUGCAUGUAACACUUCUGUCUCUCUAAAUGCUGUUGUAGCUGGGGUGACCCCACAUGCAGGUGGGCCUAACAGUCUUGGUGUGAUUAAUAAUAGCACCCCUCUUCCUUCUUAAAAGUGUUCUGGCUUGGGCAAUAGAUUGCAUCAUCACCCUAGUAACAACUAACUUUCCUGAGAGCUUUGGGUGAGUCAAACUCCGUUAGUUGUCCAGAGCCGACGUAAACUGCCUCACCAGAAGAAAGAAGUAGUUUACUGUAUUGUGGACUAAAUACAAGCUGCACUGUUAGCUGAACAUAUGCAGGAACACAAAUAUUAAAAUAAUAAUAGCUUUUAUUAAGAAAGCACAUUUUUGGAGGAUUUUAGAAACCUAAAAAAAUGCAAAUGCUUUAGCAAACUUGGCAUUACUUGCAUUCUCUGAAUGUUUCCCCAUGAGCUUAACUUGUAUGUAACCUCAUAAAUUUGCCAGACAUUUUCUAUCAAUUCACCAUCUCACCAGUAUAAUUUAAAUAAUGUCCUGUUAAAAGUUUUAGUAUAAAUUCUUACAGAGCCAAGUCAUUAUGAUAAAAUAUCUUGUUUUAUUAAUGACCAUUUAGAAAAUUUAUUAUGGUAGAAGCUGCAUAAAUAUUAAAAGUUAAGACAUUCUCUGGUACAAAUCCUUGUUAUGGUAAUAAUUCAAACCUUCCUGAAGCAAAGAAUUCCUACCAUCAAUAUCCCUUGAGAACAUGUUGGAUCUAAUGAUGUAAACUUGUUGAGACACUGUCAUCCAGAACAAGAAAAGGCUUCAGAGGCAGAAAGCCCAGCAACAAAGCUGUCCAGGCUCCGAGUCAGCAGCCUCAGUUCUGCAGCUGGGUCCCACACCACCCCGGGCACUAAACCUCCAUAGGCGUCUGUAAUGGGUAAACCGCUGGACUCAGUGUCUCAAGUAAUCUGUUUUGCUAUUAACCAGUAAUCCAGAUGACACGUGAUCAAUAGAACGUAAACGCUGCCUAGGCCCAAAGAGACAAAAAUCUCAGAUCUAAACCGACAGGAGACAACAUUAUUUUUCACUUACUUGAUUUUUAGUGUAGUAUCCUAACAAACUAAAAUGGUAGGAGAUGAAAGAAUCUUUAGAUAUGCUUACAUAUUAUCACAGACUCACCAAUGGGUCAAAGAAACAGAAAUAUUUUGAAUUUCACAGGGUUCAACAUUAAACAUUUUAAUGUGUGACAGGUGUAAUUUCCUUUCUUUCUUUAAAAAAUUCCAAUAAUACCAUGUUUAUAGUUUGCAUACAUUAUUAAAUUUGACUGACUAGAGUUUUUGAGGUCACUAUGGAGAUAUUAAUUUUUAGUUUCCAAAUUUUUAAUUUUUUCUUUAUAUAAAAGAGCAGAGAAGUCUCAGACGAGUUCAGUGAUUGACCUGAGGUGACCUGCGUGUGGUGGUGGGGCCAGGGUCAGACCCAUCUCUCCCUCCCAGUUCAGGGCUCCUGUCUAGAAACAAUUGAGAAGCACUAAAGCUAAAAUUAAGAAAAGUUUCCAAGUAAGUUAAACCUCCCAAAACUAAUCUAGGUCUAGUUGUACUAUAAUUUUUACCUUCAAUUCUUAUUCACAUCUCCUGAAUGAGAAUGACAGGAGAAGAUCUAUUACAAGUCUGUAUGUCUCCUUGGAAAUAGAUCUUAAGAAAUUUUAGCCGUAAGCUUACUUUUACAAACUAAGGGAACAAACUAAAUCUUACAAUGACUCAGCACUGAACAGUUCUAAAAUGAAGGCUCUAGAAUUUUACUAUUCUACAAGUAACAGAAUGAAAUGGGCCUGUUACUUUGUGAGACAUAUUGUAUAAGAAGUAUAAGACAUUUCCUACCAUACUAAGAGAUUUUUUCACUAACAAAAACUGGAAAAAGAAAACACCUACUAUGUUAUAAUAUUGAUUUUGGCAACACUGACAGAACACUGAUGUGAAACUAAUAGAUAUACUAAUAGAUCACUAAUAGAAACUAAUAGAUCAACCCCCAUGUUACUACUGUGUGACCCUGGCAAAUUAUUUAACCUAACUCAGUUCCUAUGACAUGAGGAUAGGUAUGUACCUACUUCAUUCACUGCUGGAUAGGAUUAAGAUAAAACAUAGAAAAUAAUAAAUGUUAAUUUUAUUAUUUUUUGUUGAAUAUUUUGUGAGAAAGAUAUCUAGAGCAACAAACAUUUUAGUGUGGUAGCCAAUGGACAAAAUUAUUCAAAAAAACGUAGGUUCUCUCAAAAACUGAAUGACUAUAUUUGGUGAUUAGUAAAGUAACUAGGAUUAAAAAAUCAUUAGAAAAAAACAGAUUCUAAGAUGAAGCAUUACAAAGAUUAAGAGGAUAACACAUGAGAAAGAAAGGAAUAGUUCAGUAGGAAGAUAAAACAGCUCUGUAUGUGUGUAUAGACAAUAUAUAGAGCGCGAAUAUGGGUAGAACGAUUUAUAGGGCAUUGAAAAUACUUGUCAUGACACCACGUCAUUAUACAUCGGUCUGAACUUACAGGAUGUAUAACACCAAGAGUGAACUGCAUCAUAAACUAUGGACUGUGGGUGAUGAUGGCAUGUCAGUGUAGGUUCAUCCGCUGUAACAAAAGUCCCAUUCUAGUGGGGGAUGUAGAUAACAGGGAGGUUGCGCGUUUGUAGAUAUGGAGGGGGUAUAUGGAAAACCCCUGUACCCACAAUUCAAUUUUGCUAUGACGCUAAAACUGCUCUAAAUAACGUCAUAAUCAUUUCAAAAGUAGAACUAAUUAGCUCAGUGUCCACCUUAAGAAAGCAGGUGUGGGGUACAGGGGCAAACCAAGAAGGAGGAAGGAGAGAAUAAUAAUAAAAAUAGAAACUAAUGAGCUGAAAGAAACGAAAUAGAGAAGAUAAAGUUGGCAUUAGUUCUUUGCAAAUACUGAAAAAAACUUCUGCCAAGAUAAAUAGAGAAAAAAAUGAGAGAACAAUCAUUAGGAAUGAAAAGGAAAUAACUAUACAUUUAGCAGAAUUUGAAGGACAAAAGAAUGUUAUAAAGAACUUUAUGCCAAUAAACUUGAAAACUUGGAUUAAAUGGAUAAAUUUCUAGUAAAUUACAACUUAGCAAAGCUUCCUUAAGAAUAAAGCCUGAAGACUCCUAUGACUAUUAAGGAAUCAGCCAUUUAAAAAAUCUUCCCACAGAGAAAAUAAUAGACCCAGAACGAUUUUAUAGAUUCAUUCUGACAAAGUUUCAACAAAUAGAUUAUUACAAUGUUAUAAAAGUGCUUGUAAGGAACGGAACAGAAGAAACACUCAACAACUCAUUUUAUGAAAUGGUCUAUACUAACACCAGUAUGAAGAACAAGAGGAGAAAGAAAAGUCACAACCGAAGAAAGCUCAAAAAGAUGCAAAAAUCCUCUAUAUGUGAAAUAUAGCAAACGGAAGCCAACAGUGUAUUGCAAAUAGUAAGUCAGGACCAAGGUUGUUUAAUCCUGAAAUGAAAAGGUGGCUUAACAUUUAACAUUAACCUUCACGACAGUAAGAGAUUAAAGGGAAAGAAUGACCCAAUUACCUGAAAAGACGCACAAAAAAAAUCUAAUGAAAUGAAAUAUCCAUUAAUGAUUUUAAAAAAAGAACUUAGUAAACUAGAAAUAGGAAGGAAUUUCCUUCUCCUGAUAUUUCCACCAAAUCUACAACAAACACCUUUCCUUAUGGUAAAACAUUAGAAACAUUUCCUUUAAACAUCAGAAUAAAGGCAGAAAUGCCCACACCACAGCUUCUAUUCAACUCUGCACUCGAGGUUCUGGUAAGUUGAGGAGGACAAGAAAAAGAAAUUAAAAAAAAAAUGAAUUGGAAAGAAAAACAAAACUGUCACUAUUUGUAGAAGUAAGUGGAUAAAAAAAUGUUAAAAAUUCUAUAGACAAGUUAUUAGAAUUAAUAAGAAAGUUGAGGAAGGUUGCUGAAAAUACAGUCUAUACACAAAAGAGGAAAAUUUGCUCUUUUAAACACUAGAACAAUUAGAAAAUGUAACUUUUUUAAGUGUACCAUUUACAAUAGUAUCAAAAAGGUAGGGCAUCUAGCACUAAUUCUAACCAAAGCUGAGUCUUAGGAAGAAAAUUUUAAAACUAUUAAAAGAUGUUUUAAAAAGACCUAACAAAUGGACAGAAAUGUCACAUUCAUGGAUUAGAAGAUCCAAUAUUCAGAAAUAUUCAUCCUCCCCAAAUUGAUCUAUAGAUUUAAUGCAAUCCCAACCAAACUUAUCUCAGAGUGUUUCAAGAAAAUAGAGAAGUUGGUUCUAAAAAUGUGGUACAUGAAAGAACACAAAGGCCCAAGAAUAGAUGAGAAAUUUCUUAAGAAUAGAGGGAAGAGCUACAGUAAUAAAGACAGCAUGGUACUGAAAUCAGGGCAGACAACUUAAGCAAUGGGAUAAAAGAGAAAUCCCAUAACAGGUUAUUACAUAUAAUGGGUACUUUGUCUAUGACAGAUCACUCAAGAAAGAAUAAACAGUUAUGGGACAAUCAGUUAUCCAUAGGUAAGAAAGGAAAUGGGGUUUCUACCUUGUACCACAACACAAAGAGAAUUUCCAACUUGAUUUAUUAAGACUUAAAGAAAA